rnacentral:rRNA from 1 species
CGUAACAAGGUCUCCGUUGGUGAACCAGCGGAGGGAUCAUUACCGAGUUUACAACUCCCAAACCCCUGUGAACAUACCUUAAUGUUGCCUCGGCGGAUCAGCCCGCGCCCCGUAAAACGGGACGGCCCGCCAGAGGACCCAAACUCUAAUGUUUCUUAUUGUAACUUCUGAGUAAAACAAACAAAUAAAUCAAAACUUUCAACAACGGAUCUCUUGGUUCUGGCAUCGAUGAAGAACGCAGCAAAAUGCGAUAAGUAAUGUGAAUUGCAGAAUUCAGUGAAUCAUCGAAUCUUUGAACGCACAUUGCGCCCGCUGGUAUUCCGGCGGGCAUGCCUGUUCGAGCGUCAUUUCAACCCUCAAGCCCCCGGGUUUGGUGUUGGGGAUCGGCUCUGCCUUACGGCGGUGCCGCCCCCGAAAUACAUUGGCGGUCUCGCUGCAGCCUCCAUUGCGUAGUAGCUAACACCUCGCAACUGGAACGCGGCGCGGCCAUGCCGUAAAACCCCAACUUCUGAAUGUUGACCUCGGAUCAGGUAGGAAUACCCGCUGAACUUAAGCAUAUCAAUA